GCUUAGGUUUCUCGUCUUAGGAUCAUCUGGGGUCGUUCGUACUCGUCCGCGAGAGGUGAAAUUCUUGGACCGGACGAAGACGAUCAGCAGCGAAAGCAUCUGUCAGGGAUGUUUUCUGCGACAAAGGACGAAGGUCAGGGUAUCGAAGACGAUUAGAUACCGUCGUAGUCCUGACUGUAAACUAUGCCGACUUGGGUCUUGCAGAGUAAAUACUUUGUGAGACCCACACAGAAAUGAAAGUGUAUGGGUUCUGGGGGUAGUAUGGACACAAGUCUGAAACUUGAAGGAAUUGACGGAAGAGCACCAUAAGACGUGGAGCUUGCGGCUUAAUUUGACUCAACGCGGGAAAACUUACCAGGUCAAGACAUGGGCGUGAUUGACAGGCUAAUGACCUUUCUCGAUUCCUUGGAUGGUGGUGCAUGGUCGCACCUAGUUGGUGCAGUGAUUUGCCAGGUUUAUUCCGGUAACGAACGAGACCUCGGCCUUGUAAAUAGUUUUACUGUUCACAGGGACAAUGUCGGCUACGUCAAGGAAGUUCGAGGCAAUUGCAGAUCUGGAAUGCCCUUAGAUGUCCUGGGUCGCACGCGUGCUACAAUGACGCCACGAGCGAGUUCAUGUGUUGAAAGACAUGUGAAAUCAGC
rnacentral:rRNA from 1 species